UGGGGAAUAUUGGACAAUGGGCGCAAGCCUGAUCCGGCCAUGCCGCGUGAGUGAUGAAGGCCUUAGGGUUGUAAUGCUCUUUUGGCGGGGACGAUAAUGACGGUACCCGCAGAAUAAGCCCCGGCUAACUUCGUGCCAGCAGCCGCGGUAAUACGAAGGGGGCUAGCGUUGUUCGGAAUUACUGGGCGUAAAGCGCACGUAGGCGGAUCAGCAAGUCAGGGGUGAAAUCCCGGGGCUCAACCUCGGAACUGCCUCUGAUACUGCUGGUCUGGAGUCCGGAAGAGGUGGGUGGAAUUCCUAGUGUAGAGGUGAAAUUCGCAGAUAUUAGGAAGAACACCGGUGGCGAAGGCGGCCCACUGGUCCGGUACUGACGCUGAGGUGCGAAAGCGUGGGGAGCAAACAGGAUUAGAUACCCCCGUAGUCCCUGAGCGGGCUGGCAAGGCGCAU
rnacentral:rRNA from 1 species